rnacentral:rRNA from 1 species
UGAGGAAUAUUGGUCAAUGGACGCAAGUCUGAACCAGCCAAGUAGCGUGCAGGAUGACGGCCCUAUGGGUUGUAAACUGCUUUUAUAUGGGGAUAAAGUGGGGAUCGUGUUCCCUUUUGCAGGUACCAUAUGAAUAAGGACCGGCUAAUUCCGUGCCAGCAGCCGCGGUAAUACGGAAGGUUCGGGCGUUAUCCGGAUUUAUUGGGUUUAAAGGGAGCGUAGGCCGUUUGGUAAGCGUGUUGUGAAAUGUAGGAGCUCAACUUCUAGAUUGCAGCGCGAACUGUCAGACUUGAGUGCGCACAACGUAGGCGGAAUUCAUGGUGUAGCGGUGAAAUGCUUAGAUAUCAUGAAGAACUCCGAUUGCGAAGGCAGCUUACGGGAGCGCAACUGACGCUGAAGCUCGAAGGUGCGGGUAUCGAACAGG